rnacentral:rRNA from 1 species
UGCAGUCGACGGUGAAGCAGAGCUUGCUCUGUGGAUCAGUGGCGAACGGGUGAGUAACACGUGAGCAAUCUGCCCCUGACUCUGGGAUAAGCGCUGGAAACGGCGUCUAAUACCGGAUACGAGCUGCGACCGCAUGGUCAGUAGCUGGAAAGAAUUUCGGUCAGGGAUGAGCUCGCGGCCUAUCAGCUUGUUGGUGAGGUAAUGGCUCACCAAGGCGUCGACGGGUAGCCGGCCUGAGAGGGUGACCGGCCACACUGGGACUGAGACACGGCCCAGACUCCUACGGGAGGCAGCAGUGGGGAAUAUUGCACAAUGGGCGCAAGCCUGAUGCAGCAACGCCGCGUGAGGGAUGACGGCCUUCGGGUUGUAAACCUCUUUUAGCAGGGAAGAAGCGAAAGUGACGGUACCUGCAGAAAAAGCGCCGGCUAACUACGUGCCAGCAGCCGCGGUAAUACGUAGGGCGCAAGCGUUAUCCGGAAAUUAUUGGGCGUAAAGAGCUCGUAGGCGGUCUGUCGCGUCUGCUGUGAAAACCCGAGGCUCAACCUCGGGCCUGCAGUGGGUACGGGCAGACUAGAGUGCGGUAGGGGAGAUUGGAAUUCCUGGUGUAGCGGUGGAAUGCGCAGAUAUCAGGAGGAACACCGAUGGCGAAGGCAGAUCUCUGGGCCGUAACUGACGCUGAGGAGCGAAAGGGUGGGGAGCAAACAGGCUUAGAUACCCUGGUAGUCCACCCCGUAAACGUUGGGAACUAGUUGUGGGGUCCAUUCCACGGAUUCCGUGACGCAGCUAACGCAUUAAGUUCCCCGCCUGGGGAGUACGGCCGCAAGGCUAAAACUCAAAGGAAUUGACGGGGACCCGCACAAGCGGCGGAGCAUGCGGAUUAAUUCGAUGCAACGCGAAGAACCUUACCAAGGCUUGACAUAUAGAGGAAACGUCUGGAAACAGUCGCCCCGCAAGGUCUCUAUACAGGUGGUGCAUGGUUGUCGUCAGCUCGUGUCGUGAGAUGUUGGGUUAAGUCCCGCAACGAGCGCAACCCUCGUUCUAUGUUGCCAGCACGUAAUGGUGGGAACUCAUGGGAUACUGCCGGGGUCAACUCGGAGGAAGGUGGGGAUGACGUCAAAUCAUCAUGCCCCUUAUGUCUUGGGCUUCACGCAUGCUACAAUGGCCGGUACAAAGGGCUGCAAUACCGUGAGGUGGAGCGAAUCCCAAAAAGCCGGUCCCAGUUCGGAUUGAGGUCUGCAACUCGACCUCAUGAAGUCGGAGUCGCUAGUAAUCGCAGAUCAGCAACGCUGCGGUGAAUACGUUCCCGGGUCUUGUACACACCGCCCGUCAAGUCAUGAAAGUCGGUAACACCUGAAGCCGGUGGCCCAACCCUUGUGGAGGGAGCCGUCGAAGGUGGGAUCGGUAAUUA